rnacentral:lncRNA from 1 species
UUUUUUGGGGGGGCCUGCCCAUGUUGCUUUGACAAAACCUCAUAUCUUGUUUCUAAUUGCCACUCCAUAUUAUACAUUCAGCACGUUGAUUCAUCCAUAUUCCCAGUGAUGGACUGAGGUUGCUUCCAGUAUCCUUUCCCGUCAUACCUAUCACUGCAAUGAAGUGACCAAGGACUGUCAGAUUGAAACUUAGAUCUUGAGUACCAGAAGGAGUUUCAAAGAUACAUUUGUGAAAUACUCAGAAAUAUUAGAUGCGGGACAUCUCUGAGUGGUUGUAUAUUGCACUCCACUUUGCAAAUGAAAUAAAACACUGGAAGAAGACAUACAUAAGAGAAAAAGCAUUGCUCUCAGCUUUUACGCCGUUUCCUAGUUUAUUUGGGACUCUGUCCUCUACCCAGACAUCGGUCAUUUGAGAUCCGUGCCAGAAUAACACCCAGUGCUCCAGGGUGUCUACUGAAGACGUAAUGCAACAAUGGAGUGUGAAAUAUGCUGGAAUCUAGAAGAAUCACUGGCUGAAUGUGAGCCUUGCAGUGUCCGCCACACGCAAGGACUAACUUCUGAAAAUAAAGUACUUGUAUCCAUUAGAAAAACCA